rnacentral:rRNA from 1 species
GGGCCCGCGGCCUAUCAGCUUGUUGGUGGGGUCACGGCCUACCAAGGCGACGACGGGUAGCCGGCCUGAGAGGGUGACCGGCCACACUGGGACUGAGAUACGGCCCAGACUCCUACGGGAGGCAGCAGUGGGGAAUAUUGCACAAUGGGCGCAAGCCUGAUGCAGCGACGCCGCGUGAGGGACGACGGCCUUCGGGUUGUAAACCUCUUUCAGCACAGACGAAGCGCGAGUGACGGUAUGUGCAGAAGAAGGACCGGCCAACUACGUGCCAGCAGCCGCGGUAAUACGUAGGGUCCGAGCGUUGUCCGGAAUUACUGGGCGUAAAGAGCUCGUAGGUGGUUUGUCGCGUUGUCCGUGAAAACUCACAGCUCAACUGUGGGCGUGCGGGCGAUACGGGCAGACUAGAGUACUGCAGGGGAGACUGGAAUUCCUGGUGUAGCGGUGGAAUGCGCAGAUAUCAGGAGGAACACCGGUGGCGAAGGCGGGUCUCUGGGCAGUAACUGACGCUGAGGAGCGAAAGCGUGGGGAGCGAACAGGAUUAGAUACCCUGGUAGUCCACGCCGUAAACGGUGGGUACUAGGUGUGGGUUUCCUUCCUUGGGAUCCGUGCC